rnacentral:rRNA from 1 species
AAAAGCUCACCAGGGCGACAAUCUAUAGCUGGUCUGAGAGGACGAUCAGUCACACUGGAACUGAGACACGGUCCAGACUCCUACGGGAGGCAGCAGUGGGGAAUCUUCCACAAUGGGCGCAAGCCUGAUGGAGCAACGCCGCGUGAGUGAAGAAGGUCUUAGGAUUGUAAAGCUCUGUCCUUAGGGAAGAACCGUGGGUGUAGGUAAUGGCACCCAUCUGACGGUACCUUUGGAGGAAGCACUGGCUAACUACGUGCCAGCAGCCGCGGUAAUACGUAGAGUGCAAGCGUUGUCCGGAAUUAUUGGGCGUAAAGGGUACGCAGGCGGAUAAUCAAGUCAAGCGUGAAAGGUGUCGGCUUAACCGACAGACUGCGUUUGAAACUGAUUACUUGAGUGUAACAGAGGAGAGCGGAAUUCCUAGUGUAGUGGUGAAAUACGUAGAUAUUAGGAAGAACACCAGUGGCGAAGGCGGUUCUCUGGGUUAACACUGACGCUGAGGUACGAAAGCUGGGGGAGCGAACGGGAUUAGAUACCCCGGU